rnacentral:rRNA from 1 species
GUUUUGAAACGGGUUGUAGCUGGCCUCACGAUGCAUGUGCACGCCCGCUCAUCCACUCCCCACACCUGUGCACCCUUUGUAGGUCGGUUUGGGUUCGGACGCUUUGUGGCGUUCGGGCUCGGGCCUUCCUAUGUACUUCACACACGCUUUAGUAUCAGAAUGUAAUUGCGAUAAAACGCACCUUAUACAACUUUCAGCAACGGAUCUCUUGGCUCUCGCAUCGAUGAAGAACGCAGCGAAAUGCGAUAAGUAAUGUGAAUUGCAGAAUUCAGUGAAUCAUCGAAUCUUUGAACGCACCUUGCGCUCCUUGGUAUUCCGAGGAGCAUGCCUGUUUGAGUGUCAUGGAAUCAUCAACCCAUACAUCCUUGUGUUGGAUGGGCUUGGAUUUGGAGGCUUCUGCCGGCCCUUGUUGGUCGGCUCCUCUUGAAUGAAUUAGCUUGAUUCCUUGCGGAUCGGCUCCCGGUGUGAUAAUUGUCUACGCCGUGACCGUGAAGCGUUUGGCGAGCUUCUAACCGUCCUAUGGACAAACUUAUCUUGACAUCUGACCUCAAAUCAGGUAG